rnacentral:rRNA from 1 species
UACGGAGGGUGCAAGCAUUAAUCGGAAUGAUUGGGCGUAAAGGGCGCGUAGGCGGAUGGGGAAGUCAGAUGUGAAAUUCCGGGGCUCAACCUCGGAGCGGCAUGUGAUACUCCUCGUCUGGAGGAAUGGCGGAGAAAAUGGAAUUCCACAUGUAGCGGUGAAAUGCGUAGAUAUGUGGAGGAACACCGGUGGCGAAAGCGGUUUUCUAGCUAUUUCCUGACGCUGAGGCGCGAGAGCAAGGGGAUCAAACAGG